rnacentral:rRNA from 1 species
UAAACGUGGCGGCNGCUCAACACAUCGCAAGUCGAACGCGAAAGGGGCUUCGGCCCUGAGUAGAGUGGCGAACGGGUGAGUAACACGUGGGUGAUCUACCUUCGAGUGGGGGAUAACGUUCCGAAAGGAACGCUAAUACCGCAUGACGUUCCGGGUUUAAAGACCUGGAAACCAAAGCCGGGGACCGCAAGGCCUGGCGCUUGAAGAGGAGCCCGCGUCCGAUUAGCUAGUUGGCGGGGUAACGGCCCACCAAGGCGACGAUCGGUAGCCGGCCUGAGAGGGCGGACGGCCACACUGGAACUGAGACACGGUCCAGACUCCUACGGGAGGCAGCAGUGGGGAAUUGUUCACAAUGGGCGCAAGCCUGAUGACGCAACGCCGCGUGGGGGAUGAAGGUCUUUCGGAUUGUAAACCCCUGUCGAAUGGGACGAAUGGCCUCUGGGCUAAUCACCCAGAGGAAUGACGGUACCGUUAAAAGGAAGCCCACGGCUAAACUCUGUGCCAGACAGCCGCGGUUAAUACAAGAGGUGGCCAAGCCGUUUGGUUCGGAAUUACUGGGCCGUUAAAAGGGCGCNUAGGCCGCGGCCAUUCUAAAUUUCAGAACCUCGAAAAUUCCCCCCCGGCUUUAAACCUUGGGGAAACUUGCCGUUUCUGAUUACUUGC